rnacentral:lncRNA from 1 species
CAAAACCAUAACGGAGGCAGUAAAAGGGGCGACAAUUUGUUGGACAUGUGAACAUUCUGAUACCAGUGCUUCUGACAUCAGGAACAGAAAAUGGCUUUUCUGAUCAAGACCUUUUCUCCUUGUAGGAAGGUAUCUGUGGUAGAGCUCAGUGGAGCUACUCACAGGGAUAGCAUCUUUCCCCAACCCAGAGGUGAAGAAGAAAGGGAAUGUUUCUGAGAAGCGGCUUGGGCCUGCUGCUUCUUCUUCUCUUCACUGCUAUGAAUAAUGGGGACAGCCGGAAUCUUUCACAGGACAGAAAAACCUGCCUGGCCCCACUCCUGCACCGUCUGCAGACACAGACUACAAGCCAUACUUCUGGGAGAGGUGAUGGGUCUUUGAUGAAUCGUCCAUACUCUCUCACCCAGUCUGUGCCUGAUGGGGACCUGGUCCAGCCAUCCCACCCUGGGACAAAUACCCUGCAGUGAAGCGAUGUCCCUAAUGCUGAGAGAGCCCCCUUUGUAUCCCCAGAAACUAUAGUAGGGCACACAGUAGGGGUUUCACAAAUGCCUGUUGAAUCAUUCUGUUCUCUCUUCUUAAACCUUCUUAACCACCUCAGCAUCCUUCUGCCUUCUUAUUGAAGCUAGGCCACUCACAACAGCAAUGGCCCCCAAGCUUUCGUUUCUAGCUGGAUGCAGCUCAGACAUAAAUUAUCCUCACCGGAAUUUGGACCGACAUUUAUUGAGCACAUCUUAUGUGCAGAGCACAUCUCCAGGUACCAGGGACCACCAGGAGCAAGAGGAUGGGAGAAGCAGCAGCCUGAUGCAAUGAGAAACUUCCCGAUAAUUGGUCAUUCAAAAAUAGAACCGGUUGCCUUGGGAGGUAGUGAGGGCCCAACAAGGAAGGUCUUCAAACAACAUAUGGAUAAACAUAUGUUGGUAAUAGCAUAGGGGAUGCUUGUUCAAGUGGGUGGUGGAUUCAUGAGGUUCCUCUGAGGUCCUUUCCAGCACAGAUUCUGGGAUUUCUGGGGGUUGUAAGUACAAUAACCUUCUCCUCAAGAUCAUUUUGCUGAGGUCUUCCUUGCAGUCAGAUGGUUCGUCCCAAUCUCCCCUUCUCCCAAGUGCCCAGAGUUUGCUACCAACCUGGUGCACAUUGGGACAGUUUCUUCUUGCUUCCUAUGCUUCUCCUCCUCCUCCCUUCUUUACCUUCUCCUCCACAACUUCCUUCUCUUCUUCCUCUUUCCCUCCUCCUU